rnacentral:rRNA from 1 species
UUUUCGCUAAAAGAUGAGCCUGUGGAGGAUUAGGUAGUUGGUGUUGGGUAAAAGCCUACCAAGCCUAUGAUCCUUAGCUGUUCUGAGAGGUUGUACAGCCACACUGGGACUGAGACAAGGCCCAGGCUCCAUUCGGAGCCAGCAGUGAGGAAUUUUGGACAAUGAGCGAAAGCUUGAUCCAGCAAUACUACAUGAGUGAUGAAGGCUUUCAAGUUGUAAAACUCUUUGGUUGAGGAGGAUAAUGACAGUACUCAACAAAAUAGCCCCGGCUAACUUCGUGCCAGCAGCCGCGGUAAGACGAAGGGGGCGAGCGUUAUCCGGAAUGACUGGGCGUAAAGGGUCCGUAGGCAGCAUUUUUUGUUAGAGGUAAAAGAAAAAAGCUUAACUUUUUUUGGCUUCUAGAACGUAAAUGCUUUGAGUUUGAAAGGGGAUAGCAGAAUUUCACAUGGAGGGGUGAUAUCCGUAGAUAUGUGAAGGAAUACCGGAGGCGAAGGCGGCUAUCCGGUUCAAUACUGACGUUGAGGGACGAAAGCAUGGGGAGCAAACAGGAUUAGAUACCCUGGUAGUCCAUGCCCUAAAAGAUGAGUGCUCGUGCUUAGAGAUCUUUAGGCACUUAGUUAACACGUUAAGCACUCCGCCUGGGGAGUACGACCGCAAGGUUGGAACUCAAAGGAAUUGACGGGGGCCUAUACAAGUGGUGGAGCAUGUGGUUUAAUGCGACAAUACGCGCGAAACCUUACCAGUUCUUGACAUAAAAAGGAAAGACUCCGAGAGGAUGAUUUUAAGGAUUUUUACAGGUGCUGCAUGGCUGUCGUCAGCUCGUGUCGUGAGAUGUUAGGUUAACUCC